GUCCACGCCCUAAACGAUGGGCACUAGGUGUGGGAGGUAUCGACCCCUUCCGUGCCGCAGCUAACGCAUUAAGUGCCCCGCCUGGGGAGUACGGUCGCAAGGUUGAAACUCAAAGGAAUUGACGGGGGCCCGCACAAGCGGUGGUGCAUGUGGUUUAAUUCGACGCAACGCGAAGAACCUUACCUAGGCUUGACAUCCCUGGAAUCCCCUUGAAAGAGGGGAGUGCUCGCAAGAGAGCCAGGAGACAGGUGCUGCAUGGCUGUCGU
rnacentral:rRNA from 1 species